AACGCGAAGAACCUUACCAGGGUUUGACAUCCUGCGACCGCCUCCUAAUAGGGGUUUUCCCGCAAGGGACGCAGAGACAGGUGCUGCAUGGCUGUCGUCAGCUCGUGUCGUGAGAUGUUGGGUUAAGUCCCGCAACGAGCGCAACCCUCGCCUUUAGUUGCCAUCAUUCAGUUGGGCACUCUAGAGGGACCGCCGGCGACAAGCCGGAGGAAGGUGGGGAUGACGUCAAGUCCUCAUGGCCCUUACACCCUGGGCUACACACGUGCUACAAUGGCGGUGACAGUGGGCAGCUACUUCGCGAGAAGCGGCUAAUCCCAAAAAACCGCCCCAGUUCAGAUUGUACUCUGCAACUCGAGUACAUGAAGGUGGAAUCGCUAGUAAUCGCAGAACAGCAGGCUGCGGUGAAUACGUUCCCGGGCCUUGUACACACCGAUAGC
rnacentral:rRNA from 1 species